rfam:Schistosoma curassoni strain Dakar, Senegal genome assembly, scaffold: SCTD_scaffold0014598
AUCUGGCUGACGAGUUCCAAAUAGAAUGAAACACACGUCCAGGAU